rnacentral:rRNA from 1 species
UAGGGAAUCUUCCACAAUGGGCGAAAACCUGAUGGAGCAACGCCGCGUGUGUGAUGAAGGGUUUCGGCUCGUAAAAUACUGUUGUAAGAGAAGAAUGACAUUGAGAGUAACUGUUCAAUGUGUGACGGUAUCUUACCAGAAAGGAACGGCUAAAUACGUGCUAG